UUUGAAUACUCUUAUGUAACUGAGGGAGCUAACAAACUUAGUUAUUGUAGUCUAUUUAUGAUGUCCGAGGAAGAUGAUGGAAUUGUAAUAGUUGGUUGAGUCUGUUUUAGGUCUGUUUUUCAAGCCUUUGGUUGGGGAGUGACUUUUGAAGUCAAUGACAAUGCCAGGUUUAAGAAGAUUUCUGGAGGCAUGUGUUUAGGGAAUGGCGUGGAUGAGACAAAGACUCGAUUUAUAGACUGCCCCACACAACUGCUGUGUCCUGAGCACCAACAGUGUGAAAGGAGUACGCGGCCGUCAACCCCUGUGAAGGACCAUCCCUUUCAAGAGCAAUGUGAAUACAGUGCCCAGCCACGGAAAGGGGAGUCACAAAUGAAAACAAAAGACAUACAUUCAAAAGACGACCUGUACCCUGAUUUUCUUAUGAAAUGCUUAAUGAAAAGAUGCUCAAACACCUCCAUGGAUUUGUGGAUUCUGAAGUAGGAAGGCAGCAGGAACAGAAGCCCAUGGGCUGUCUUCACUGACCUUAAUUGUUUGGGUUUCGAGUUUAGCAGCUAAAUGGUCCUGCCUGGAGAAUGUGCUUUGUUUCACGCUGAUGUUUGAAGAAAUUCCCUGGUUUGUAUCAGUCAUACAUCAUGUCAGGUAACAGCAUACCAUCCUGCAACAGAAGGUCUCCCAAAGAAACACAAGCUCAAGGUUGACUGUCCCAUUCAGCUCCCUAGGAAGACAUUUGUACAACUCAACGGACUGCAGAAACCCACCUGUGAUCCACUUCCAGUUGGAAGAUGAGGCUGUGAGUGCAUGA
ensembl:lncRNA